GUUAGGAAUUUGGAAAUGGAAAGAAUGGAAAGAAAUGAGAAAGGUGAGAGAGAGAGAGUCUCGACAGAAAGGAGGAAAGGGGUACUUGACCCCAAUUUGAUUUAAUUUGGUUGUGGGCCUAAUUAAAUUGGUAGUUGGACUUUACUAACAAGAAAGAAAAGGAGCAAAGGAGACUUAGUGGCCCAAUUUAAUUAAGGUUUGGGCCAAGAGUUUGUGUUGGAGUAGGCUACUUAAUUAAAUUAGUGGACUUGGAAGAUAAAUAUUUUGGAAAGAAAUUAAUUCAAGGAAUUUAGCUUGGAGCUUAAUUAAAUUAAUUUCCGAAUUACUAAAUUCCCGAAGAUGGAGAAAUAUUGAGUUAGAGCACGACUAAUUUUUCUCGAAUAACGUAUGGAGAUCCGGAGGCGGAAAAUAUUAAAAUGGAGAAGCGAAUGGGCCGACCGGCGUCGCCCCGCGACGCCAUGGGCGGCCCUAAGAGGCCUUAAGAAAUCUUAAGAAAAUCCGACAGAAAGGAUUUAAGAAGGGAUUUUAAGAAUCCAUAUUUAAUUAAGAGAAAAUAGAAAUUCUCCAAAUUAGUGAGCGGAAUAAUUUAAGUGUUGUCGUACAACAAAGCCCAGUUAAGAUUUAAGAAGAAUCCUUUAAGCCGAGACUAAGGGAUAGGAUGCAUGCAUUCUUUUCUCAGAAAAAUAGUUUGAAUAUUAAUUAGCGUUUUACGCUAUUUAUUUCUAAAGGAAUUUGUUCAAGGGGCAAGAGAGGCCGAACGAGGAAUUGUUAAUUGGAGAUAAGCAUAACAGGUUGAACGUCAAGUUGAAGGAGGAAUUGAUCGGAGUCGAUGCUAUUAAAUAAGCUUGUGGAUUUCUCGGCGAUUCGUGUCUUCAUACACGAAGUCGUUUAGUAGGGACCUCUUUCCGCUGCAUUUAUUUCGUUAAGUGAGAAGCUUAUUGUCUCACCUUCGAACUCUGAUUUGGUUGUUGUGGUGAAUGAUUCUAUUUGAGAACAUGUAACCAAAUAUUCGGUUCCUUGUUUGCAGUGUUUAUUUGACUA